GUUUUAAAAAGAUCUGGAAAAAUAUAUCGAAAACGCGACAGUAUAAAGCGGUCAUUAUUUAAUGUGAACAACUCCGUUGGGAGUGAAAUAUUUGGUACUACAGGGAUAAUUACUGCUGCAGAUGUUCAAUCUUCUGAUAGUUCAGAUUCUGAAGAUGAAUACGGGGCUGUAACAACGGAUUCUAAUGAGUUUGACACUAUGGACUUUGAAGAAGGAAUGCAAUUUUGGGCUUUAUACACCAACCAAACACAUCAAUCCAUAAACAUGAUGUUAAAGUUAUUAAAAUCAAAUAUCGACUCAGUAAACCUUCCAGAAAAUGCUAGAACGCUGCUUCGUACAAAGAGGACUCCGGCGGAAAUAACAAAGAUUGAUGGAGGUCAAUUUUGGUAUAAUGGAAUCCAAAAAUGUCUUUCAUCCUUCUUUUGUAAACAGGGACCACCAUUCGAAACACUGUCGCUCAAUUUAUUUGUGGAUGGUUUACCUCUUUACAAAAGUAGCAGUCUCCAGUUUUGGCCGAUUCUCUUCAAUAUACAUGAUAUGCCCAAUGUUCGUCCAAUGAUUGCUGGGAUUUUUUGCGGCAAUACCAAGCCGGGAAAUGCGGAUGAAUAUUUGAAGA